rnacentral:rRNA from 1 species
CGGUUGAUCCUGCCGGACCCUACCGCUAUCGGGGUAGGACUAAGCCAUGCAAGCCAAGCGUCUCCCAUGGAGACGCGGCGCACGGCUCAGUAACACGUGGUCAACCUGCCCUUAAGAUGGGGCCAACCCCGGUAUUCUGGGGCUAGGCCCCAAUUGAUGAGGCGUCCUCGAAUGGCGCCUCAUUGAAGGUGUUGGGAACAUGCUCCCAGUUCCCCUUAAGGAUGGGACCGCGUCCGAUCAGGUUGUUGGUGGGGUCAUUUCCCACCAAGCCUAUAACCGGGGGGGGCCCUGAGAGGGGCCCCCCCGAGCUGGGGCCUGAGACAAGGCCCCAGGCCCUGCUGGGCGCAGCAGGCGCCCACUCUCCACAAUGCCCGCCGGGGUGAUGGGGCUACCCCGAAUGCCUUCCGAAGCGGAAGGCUUUGACCGUGCGCACGAAGCGCGAGGAAUAAGGAGGGGGCAACCAUGGUGUCCGCCGCCGCGGUAAUACCAUGCUUCCGAGUGGUAGGGAUGAUUAUUGGGCUUAAAGCGUCCGUAGCCGGCCUAGCAAGUCUCCCGUUAAAUUCAACGACCUAAUCGUUGAGCUGCGGGAGAUACUGCUAGGCUAGGAGGCGGGAGAGGCCGACGGUAUUCCCGGGGUAGGGGUGAAAUCCUAUAAUCCCGGGAGGACCACCAGUGGCGAAGGCUGUCGGCUAGUACGCGCUCGACGGUGAGGGACGAAAGCUGGGGGAGCGAACCGGAUUAGAUACCCGGGUAGUCCCAGCUGUAAACGAUGCGGGCUAGGUGUUGGGGUGGCUACGAGCCACUCCAGUGCCGCAGGGAAGCCAUUAAGCCCGCCGCCUGGGGAGUACGGCCGCAAGGCUGAAACUUAAAGGAAUUGGCGGGGGAGCAC